rnacentral:rRNA from 1 species
UACAGAGGUCUCAACCGUUGUUCGGAUUCAUUGGGCGUAAAGGGUGCGUAGGCGGCGGGGCAAGUCGGGUGUGAAAUCUCGGAGCUUAACUCCGAAACUGCAUUCGAUACUGCCGUGCUUGAGGACUGGAGAGGAGACUGGAAUUUACGGUGUAGCGGUGAAAUGCGUAGAUAUCGUAAGGAAGACCAGUGGCGAAGGCGGGUCUCUGGACAGUUCCUGACGCUGAGGCACGAAGGUCAGGGGAGCAAACGGG